GCAAAAGAGAGAUCCAGAGUGUUCUAGGAAAGCACGAUCCAGGGAAGGAGGUGAAGUCUGAGCUAAGGCUUGAUGGAUCUUAAAAGCGGGAUGGAUUGCAGUCCUGGGAGAAUUCACAGAAGGCUGUGAAUCCUGGUGAUGGAAGCAAGCUCAGAGGCCAUCCAGUCCAACUAGAAACUAAAUGAAGUAAUGAAGCUAUCUAGCUGAAAGCAGAGAACAAAAUUUCAGAAGAAUCAAAAUUCCAGGUGACCUGGAAAGGAUCAGGAAUAUCUGUGGAAGGUAUAAAUAGGCUACAAUGUCCAAAAAAGGAAAAACAAAACACCAUUGAGGACAUGUGUUCAGAAAAGGAGGGAGGUACGCCAUGUAGUAGCAUAAGGGAUAAAUGGACAGCCUCAGUGCUACAUUAGAACCAGAGGAAAGCUUCCCUUUAGUCGGCUGAGGUAGACUAUCUAUACAAGGUGAUAGUCUCACUGUUCCACAUUAAUGAAGAUGCUUGGAGUUCUUUCUUGGAUGAAAGGCUCAAAGCUAUAUACAAUUAGGAAGAAAAGCUCAUCAGGCAGAGAAAGAAAGGGAAGAGAAGAGAAGGGAAGGGAAGGGAAGGGAAGGGAAGGGAAGGGAAGGGGGAAGGGGGAAGGGGGAAGGGGAGGGAAGGGAAUGAGUGGGGGAGAAGAAAGAGGAGAAGGUAUGGCACAGAGCUCCUGGCACAGAGAGAUACAAAAUAUCAAUACAUGAGUGACACUCCUUAUUCUCUUCAAAAACUUAAGAUGGGAAUUUUUCCAAGGUUCUGUCCUUUACCCUCUUCUCUCUUCACACUCUCUUCUCUGGCAAUCUAUUUGUUCCCAGAACUUAACCAUCAGCUCUGCAGAUAAUUCUCCCAAAUCUCUCCCCAUACCCUUGCCCUCUCUUCUGGGCUCCAGGCUCCCAUUUUCUUUGUAUAUAUUCCAAGAGCACCUCCAUAUCAACUUAUCCACCACAGGAUGGAUGAUAACCUGGAGCUGCUCUAUUAUAGUGGAGAUUUCUUUUGGGUAUAGAGUGCCCAAAAGAUGGCUGCUAAGGUCUUUCUAACUCUAAAAUCUGUGAUAUACAAAAAAGAAAGAAAAAAAAAGCAUUUUAUCUUUCCCCUCAAAGUAGCUUCUUAUUUUGACCUUAUUAUUUUUUUCAGUGCCACCCAUUCCCUCAUGUUUGAAACCAUAAUAAGAUAAUCUUUGACUGUUCUUCCUCCCUCGAUUCACAUGGUCAGUUAUCUACUCCCGUUAAUUCUAUAUAAAUAUGUCUUGUAUCUGUCAUCUUUUCUCCACUCCACUGACACCACAUGGCCUGGACUACCUGCAGAAGUCCCCUAACAAGUCUUUCUACUUCCAUGCUCUACUCUACUUUCCUCCUCAAUAAUCUAUCAUUCACAAAAAUGACACACUACCAGCCUGUUGAACUGAAUACUCUAAAGAUCUAGUUAGGUUACUCCUCUGCUCACUAAUGUUUAUGAGUCAGGUUCAAGCUCCUUUAACUGACAUCAAAAGACCUCCACAAUCUGGCACCAUGCUACUUUCCUAGACUUAUUUCAUACUCUUUCUCUCUAUAAACUCUAAGAUCUUGAUGAACUGGACUACCCAAAGUCUCUACCUGCCCAAUACUUUUCUGCCUUUGCUAGACUUCCCUAUGCACUGAAUUUCCUACCUCGCCACCAAUUCCUACUCAUCCUUUAAAGUUUAAUUCAGAUUCUACUUUCUGCACAAAAGCUGAUCAUGACCUCCCAACUUCACCCAGAACUGUCUGUACCUUUGAUAUUAAUUUAUACAUUUUCUAUUAUAGUCAUUUGUGUGUGCUGUAUGUGCAUCUCCAAGAGGUGCCCUCUUGUCUUAGAAUUAAUACUACUGGUUCCAAAUGAAGGGAUGCCCUUCAAUUGGGGAUUGGCUGAAUAAAUUGUGGCAUAUGUUGGUGAUGGAAUACUAUUGUGCUCAAAGGAAUAACAAACUGGAGGAAUUCCAUGGGGACUGGAACAACCUCCAGGAAGUGAUGCAGAGUGAGAGGAGCAGAACCAGGAGAACAUUGUACACAGAGACUAAUACACUGUGGUACAAGAGAACGUAAUGGACUUCUCUACUAGCAGCAAUGCAGUGAUCCUGAACAACCCGGAGGGAUCUAAGAGAAAGAACACUAUCCACAUUCCAAGGAAAAACUGUGGGAGUAGAAACACAGAAGAAAAACAACUGCUUGGGUACAUGGGUUGAGGGGAUAUGGCUGUGGAGGGAGACUCUAAAUGAUCAUCCCAAUGCAAAAACCAAUAACAUGGAAAUAGGUUCUGAUCAAGGACACAUGUAAUACCCAAUGAAAUUGCGCAUCGGCUGUAGGAAGGGUGGGGGGAGGGGAGGGAAGGAAAUAAUGUGAUUCUUGUAACCAAGGAAUAAUGUUCUAAAUUGACUAAAUAAAUUAAUUUUAAAAAAUAAAAGAAAAAA